GUCUUGAAACACGGACCAAGGAGAUUACAAGAUGACAGUAUUAAAAAUCAUAGGUGAUUUGUCAUCUGGUAAGACCCGAAACAUAGUGAACUAUAUAUGUCAAUGGUUGAAGAUAAAUGACAGUUUAUUGGAAGACCUAAGUCAUUCUGACGUGCAAAUCGAUGAUGAUAGAUGUAUAUAGUGGCGAAAGACCAAUCGAACUAUGUGGUAGCUGGUUCACAGCGAAAUGUCUCUUAGGACAGUUGAGUAUGAUUAAAGUAAAUAGAUGUAGAGUCAAUACAAUUUUUAUAAUUGUUUAACUUCUAAUUCUAUAGAUUUGUAUGUAUUAUUUGAUACUUAUCAUUAUUUUAAUACUCAAGUGGGCGUAUGAUUGUAAGAAUGAUAUGCAAUAAGGGAUGAACCUUUAGAUACACUAAAAUUUCUAAUAGUAUUAUAAUUAUAAAUAUGAUGAAUACAUUAUGACAGUAGGGCGGUUGUUAUGGAAGUAGAAAUCCGCUAAGAAACGUGUUACAACGUACCUACCGAAUGUAUUAUUGUAUAAAAUGGAUGAAUAAUAUAAUAAUAUUGAAGUGUAUUAAAAUGACGAAUGUUAUUUUGGUAGCUGUGUAAUUUGAAUAUAUUGAAGUAUAUAAGUUAUUAUAUAUUGAAUAAUCAAAUGAGCAGAUCUUGGUGGUAGUAACAUAAUAAUUUGUAUUUAUAGAGAUUAGGGUUGUCAUUAUGAUGACGUGAGACGGUGUUAUAAUAAAACGAAUAAUAUUAAUAUUUUAUUAUCUUAUUUAUUAUGUGGUGACACAAAUAUGGACUAUUAUUUAAUUAAAUUGUAAUAUAAAUGAGUUACAAUUUUUUAAUGAUGUGAUAGUUGUUAUAAGAUCAUCAUUUUAAUAAUAAUAUGAUAAAAAAGAAAUAAAUAAACCGUACCUAUACCUCAUCAGGUGUCUCUGUUUUAUAACAAAUAUAUAUAAAGUAAUCUAAGUAAGGGAAUUCGGCAAAAUAGAUCUGUAACUUUGGGAUAAAGAUUGGCUCUAGCAUGCUAGAACUUUUUAUAUUAUGAGAGGAAUCUGACUGUUUAAUAGAAACAUAGCUUUAUGAUAAUGUAAAGUGAAUUCUGCCCAGUGUAUUUAUUAGUUAAAAUAAAAUAAGCAUAUAUAAACGGCGGGAGUAACUAUGACUCUCUUAAGGUAGCCAAAUGCCUCGUCAUCUAAUUAGUGACGCGCAUGAAUGGAUUAACGAGAUUCCCUCUGUCCCUAUCUACUUUCUAGCGAAACCACGGCCAAGGGAACGGGCUUGGAACAAUCAGCGGGGAAAGAAGACCCUGUUGAGCUUGACUCUAGUCUGGUACUGUAAGGAGACAUGAGAGGUGUAGCAUAAGUGGGAGAUGGCUUGCCAUCGACAAUGAAAUACCACUACUUUCAUAGUUUCCUUACUUACUUGAUGAAGCGGAAGGCGUCGGUCGGGGUUUUUACUCAGGCUUGACGGACUUCUUGCGCCAAACGCCAAGGGUUGCCGGUGGUCGUUGGAGAAGUGGACGCCACUGUGGUGGGUGAGUCGUUCCUUCGGGGGCGUGCUUCCCGCUGCUGGGUGUUUCACGGAUCUGGCGUGCUUUUCCGGCAACAAUCUCCCUAGCGUGAUCCGAUUCAAGGACACUACCAGGCGGGGAGUUUGACUGGGGCGGUACAUCUGUCAAAUAAUAACGCAGGUGUCCUAAGGUCAGCUCAGCGAGGACAGAAACCUCGCGUAGAGCAAAAGGGCAAAUGCUGGCUUGAUCCCGAUGCUCAGUGCGCAUAGGGACUGCGAAAGCACGGCCCAUCGAUCCUUUUGGCUUGAAGAGUUUUCAGCAAGAGGUGUCAGAAAAGUUACCACAGGGAUAACUGGCUCGUGGCGGCCAAGCGUUCAUAGCGACGUCGCUUUUUGAUCCUUCGAUGUCGGCUCUUCCUAUCAUUGCGAAGCAGAAUUC
rnacentral:rRNA from 1 species